rnacentral:lncRNA from 1 species
UCAGAUGCAAGGGGUAAAGGAGGCGGAGAGGGAGCAAAGCCAUCAGGACAAAUAGCUAAUGCACACUAGCUUAAUACCUAGGUGACCGAUUGAUAGAUGCAGGAAACAACCGUGGCACACAUUUACCUAUGUAACAAACCUGCACAUUCUGCACAUGUAUCCCAGAACUUAAAGUAAAAUAAAAUUUAAAAAAAAAAACCACUGGGAGACUCUCCCCAGGGCCACCUCUCCCGUGCACCUUCAGCCUCUCCUUCUCUACCAACCUCUUGCGACCAUCAGGCAAAUGUGUCUCUCCUCGUGAAAGAUCAAACAAAACUCGAUAAAAAGACCUUCAACCCCUUGUUCUCCUCCUUGCUGACAGCUUUUUGAAAGUGCCUGUAAUUGUCUCCAUCUCCUCAUCUUGUAUUCACUUUCUAAGUGUUCUUUUCUGCAUGUGCAUGUCUUGAUUCCUUGCUCUUUUCUGGAUUUGCAUUGCCAAUUCCCUGUCAAUCACUUAUUUUUGUGAAUGGGUCACUAGUGCAGAGGUCGUGACCUUGGGCUUGUGUCUUUGCAGGGAGAAGUUGAGACAUCCCCCAGGCUUGCGCAGUGCCCCUCCAUUGAAACCAAGCACACUAAACUCACUGCCAGCCUUCUUGGUGGGUCCAUUAGCGCUCAUCUCCCAUUCCCUCUGCCGCACCAGAACCUCAACUCCAGUCGCUCACCAGCUGCCCCUUAAAGGCACCCCUCACUGGCCACUGCCCUGUCAGUGAAGAGUAGCUGCCUCCACUAGAAGGCCUCCCACUCCCUUUCCCCUAAGCCAAUGACUGCCUCCCUAACAUCUCUCAAUUCUCUCCAUUCCCACUGCCGUUGUCCAGUUGAGACCACCAUCACCUUCAAUCUGCAUCACUGCUGAUGCAGUCGUGACUUCUGAACUAGGCUCUCGGCUCUGGUUCCCUCCUCUCUAAUUAAGAAUCCACAUUGCCACCAGAGCAAGUAACAGACCUGUCAAAUCUGUUACUCUGCUGAGUAAAACUCAAGGGAUAAAAUCUCAACUCCUGAGUGCAGCUUGAAUUGUGUCCCCCCAAAUUCAUAUGUUGAGUUCCUAACCCCCAAUGUGACUGUUUUUAGACAUGGGGCCUUUCAGGAGGGCAUUAAGGUUAAACAUGGUGAGAUGGGUGGGUCCCAAUCUGAUAGGAUGGGUGUCCUUAUAAGAAGAGGGUGAGACGCCAACAGUGUGUUCUGCACAGAGGACACAGCAAGAAGGUGGCCCUUUGCAAACCAAGGAGUAUGGCUUCAGGAAAAAACAACCCUACCAGUCCCUGAAUCUUGGACUUUGAGCCUCCAGAGCUGUGGGAAAAUAAAUGUUGCUUAAUUAUGUUGUUAUGCCACGUGGUCUGGUAUUUUGUGAAGGUAGCUGAGCUUCCUGGGAUGGAGACCUUUCGUAUGCUUUGCCCCAGCUUCUCUCUCCACCCAGCUCUUGGGCCUGCGCCCUUUCAUGCCCAUGCUCCAGCCAGAUGGAGCUGCAGGCACAUCCUUCAAUGUGCCACACCUCCCUUAAAUCAUGCCCUCACCAUUUCCUCCACGUGGAUGUGUCCGCUGCGCUCGCCAUCUCUACCACCUGGAUGGCUUCCAUACUCAUAUUGGAUGUGGGCUUAAGACAGCUGUCUAGAAUUGUCAUCUCCACUUCCUCAUCCCACUUAACAGGUUUCUUUUACAUGAAUUAAUGAUCUAUAUUUUUUCUUAAUUUUCACUGAUGCUUCUUUACAGUUGUAUCAUUUAUUCUUGUGUAACCUCUGUGCUUUGUAUCCUCCUCCUUCAAACUCAUGUUAAAACUUGCCUACUCCACACCAUAUGCCCAGACCAGGCAACUGACACCCACUGAUGCUGGAGGACUUGCAAAGCUCCCUGGACUCCCUAACUCUGCUCUUCAUGUGCGUCUCUGUACAGGUGUGUGUAUGUGCAUGUGUGUGUGCAGAUGUUUGUAUGUGUGCAGGUGAGUGUGUGUGUGCAGGUGUGUGUCUCUGUGCAUGUGUGUAUGUAUGUACAUGUGUCUGUGUGUUUGUAUAAACAUGUUCAUGUGUCUGUGUACGUGUGUACGUGUCUGCGUCUGUGUGUCCAUAUGUGCAUGUCUGUGUGUGCAUGUGUCUAUGUGUCUGUGUCUGUAUGUGCAUGUGUGCAUGUGCAUAUGUGUGUGUUUGCAUGUCUAUGUGCCUGCAUGCAUGUGUGUGUGUUUGUGUGUCUGUGUAUAUGUGCGCAUGAGUGGAUGUGUGCACCGCUCCGGACGAGCCCUCCUUCCUGUCAGUGCCUUCUCUACCACAGCCCACCUGGAUUUGUCUGUCCUGGGAAUGCUCCCACAGGGAAUGUUGUGCCUGCAGGCUCUUGCUGAUAUUGAGCUAAAAAUGCAACUGUUGAUGUACCCAAUUUAAGAUUAAACUCUUCCCACCCUCAUGCACACCCUUGCCAGUCAGCUGCCUUCUUCAGUGACCUCUAGAUAUCACAAACAAGCCAGGUUUAUCAGCUCCUAGUGCCCUUAGAGAAGGGGGCUUUUCCCAGCUGCCCCCAGCCUGGGGUGGGGGGUGUUAAUGCAAGAGCAGGAGUGAGGUGGGCUAACCACCAGCCGCUCUGAGGGGCCUCUGAGCACCGGGCAGCAGUCCUGCUCCACCCCAAGCCCCAGCCCCAGGACCACACUGUCCACUGGCUCCUCCCAGACAGGCUUAAGGCAGGAUAGUGCCACCCUCUGACAUCCCAUGGUAACAUUAAAAAUCCGUAUAAGGGGAGUUCUAACAUUUUCCUCCUAAGCUCAGUGGAUUGACUUAGGCUUCCCUGGCUUCAGCAUCUGCUGGGCACUCAGGGGUGCACAAACGCCUGAGGGGACAUGGUAUUGUGCCAGAGGCAAUGGAAGCUGCAAUAGACAGGACACGUUUUCAUGGAGCAUCAGUCAUACUCAGCUAUGAGUGAUUCAAAAUACUUUAACAUAGAUACAAACACCGCGGUGUUAUGGAGGAGGAUACACCACCCACGCACGUUGUGAAGGUCCAGCAGGAGGACUCGGAGGAAGCUUCCGUGCUGUGGGACACUCUGGAAUCUGGGCCAGAUCACCAAGAGUGUGUCUUCUUCUGAGAUAGGGGCACUUGGCGAAAACAUUUCUGAAACAAUGUGCUAAGUGGAGGCUGUGAGGCCUGAACGUGAGAAGGAGUUUUAAGAAACUUGGAGUUACUGGGUGGCUGAGUGUUAAAUAAGAACAUUUGUCCUUUACCCUAAAUGAGCGUUUACUCACUCGCUCAUCCAUUCAUUCAACAGAUAUUUCCUGAAUGCCUACUCCAGUCCAGGCACCAUGGAAGAUGUUGGGCCAAUUAUUUGGGAAAAGUCUCAUCUUACUAGUAUCAGAUAUGGGGAGAAGGAAGGGACAAUUAUGUUUGGAAAAUAGGAGUAGAGGUUCCUCUAAAUCCCAAAUACUCUUUUGUAUCUCUGUUUCCCUGACUGCAAUGAUGGUUACAGAAAGGAUGAUAAAGGAGAAAUACUUUGAAAUGAAAAUUGCUAUUUAUUUGCAAAUGAAUCUAAAUUAUGAGCAUAAUUUAUUCCUCCGGAAAAUAUGAAUUGAGCACCAAUUCAUGCCAGGACUUGUGCUGGGCGUGGUGGGGAGGACAAAGAUGGUCCCGAGGAGAGCUGCCCACACAGGGGAGCUUGGUAAGGAGACAGGAGACAGUGCAGAUGAAAAGCCUGGGAUGGAUCAAUGGGUGCCACAGGACUUCCACUUGGGAAGAGGUGAUCUGCAUUGUACACUGUUAGUGGUGUGGUUACUCCUUUUUCUCCCAAGAUUUCACUAUGCUUAUAAAUAAAUACGAUAACCAGAACAAUGGCUAUACUGUGAAGGCCCGUGAGCAAGUGGCUGGUUCGCCAAUGGUCAUCAUCAACAACGUCUCAGCAGCUCAGACUUAGGACUGUGAUUAGCCUCAUCAUGCCUGCAUGGACGAGGCACAGGCCCUGUCUGAAAAACACAAGCUGCAGGCAAGCAUGUGUCUGUGUGCUGUGCUGGUGUUGCUGGAAAUACACUUGGGAAGGUGAUGCCCACUGGAUUAAACCCGUGAUGCAGGGAAGAGUUGUAAGAUCUGGUGAGUCGGUUAGCUAGAAUGGAGGGGACCGAGAAGGUAGGUUGUACAUGUGGGUCCUCUCCUCCCCUCUGUUCCCCUCCACAGACUGUUCCCCAGCCAGAAGCACCUGGUAAGCCUCUGCAAGUCCUCAGAACUAGAAAGAUUAGAAAGAGAGAGAGAGAACACAUGUGGAUGAUACCACAGUCAGUGAGAAGGGACUCCAAGCUCAUGCCUCUGGGGGAUGGCCUCAUUGCCAUCUCUGGAUCCAGAGGGCAAAUUAUUAGCAGUUCUAUUCAGAAAAAGGGCUAGAGAGCAGGGGCAAGAAAUCAUGCUUGCAGUUGCUCUUGAGGGCAGAUGUAUUAGUUUGCUAGGGCUGUCAUAAGAGAGUACUGCAGAUUGGGUGACUUAAGCGACAGAAAUUUCUUUUCUUACAAUUCUGGAGGCUAGAAGUCCAAGCUCAAGGUAUCAGAAGAGUUGGUUUCUUCUGUGGCCUGCCUCUCUUCUUGGCCGUCUUCUUCCUAUGUCUUCACAUGGUCUUCCCUCUCUGAGCGUCUGUGUCCUAAUCUCUUUUUAAGGACACCAGUCAUAUUGUCUUAGGCCCCACCCAUAUGACCUACUUUCAUCACCUCCUUGAAGGCUCUGUCUCCAGAUACAGUCACAUUCUGAGGUACUGGGGAGUUAGGGCUUCAACAUAGGAAUUUUGGGGGGACACAAUUCAGCCCAUAACCAAAGUGUCUCCUUAACUUUGGUAAAAUGAAGCAAUAGGAAAUAAAUAAAUAAAUAAAUAAAAAUUAAAAAAAAAAAAAAAAACAGCUCUCUGUGCAGAGUGCUAUAAAGGCCUCUCCGGGUCCUGGUGUGGAUGACAUGAAGACUGAGCCAACCUGACCCUUCUUGGCCAGGACCUCGGUAGGGACCGGCUCCUCUCGAAGGCCUUCUCUGCAGGAGGGUGGUGAGAAUUCUAAGAGUCUGUUGACCCAACCACAUGCAUGAAAAGGGAGAUCCUCCUUGAUCCCAAAUGUGAUAUGGCCUCACUGCCCAGUGAAGUGAAGCCAUCUGCACAGACGGCUGUCAGGGCCCAGUCUGAGCUAGAGGCAGCACUUCCCAGAGAUGGGCCCUGAUGCUUCCUCUUCUUUCCCAAGAACGUGCUCCCAAAUUCACAUUUCCCCACUGGCCCAGGCCAAAUCCCCAUCUUUUAGAUGCGGUGCCCCAGGAGGCCAUGUGGUAUGGGGUUGAGAUCUCUGUCACUGUAGAGGCCUGAGCCUUCGAGAACCUGACGGAGAAGCAGCUCCCCCAGAGCGUCGCUUUCCUCUCUGGGGAAGUGUGGGCUUUCCUGGGUGCUGACAGCAGGAGGCAUCUGUAAUGCUGCUAACAGCUCUGUGUGGCUGUAAUCUGGUUUAUGCAAAUCCAGUCACUUUGCAGCCCACAGGGAAAGCUGGAAGGAGGGAUCUGCUUUGAUCUCUUAUCAAAGAAGAUUUUGCAUUUACGUGAGAAUGGCUAAUGCUAAAAAUAUUGCUGUUUGGGAGAAAUGGCCCAUCCCUGCCCUGAAUUUAUAAUUUAUAAUGAUACUGUAGCAUCUUGGAACACUCGUCAUUAAACAAACAAAUGUGAAACUCCUCCUUUAUUCUUCACAUAAAGACCAGAUGAUGAGAAGGCAAAGCACCCAAGUGCUCGUGCCUGUGUCCCACCCCUGCUCUUGCGCAAGAGUCCUCCACCACCCGUACUCCAGUCUGACCGUAGCUUCCAGAACAUGGGAAACUGCUUUCCCCUGGCACAAGACUCUGCACAGAAGGGCUGGGCUCCAGCAACUUUGUUUCAGAAAGAAGUUUCUUCUCAUUCUGAUCCAGCCCAAGGAAACAGGAUUUAAGUCAGGAGACUGGGUCUGAAUCUAAGCUCUGCCCCUCACCAGCUGUAAGGGAUUCACCUGGGUGAGCUCUUACCUCUGAGUCUGGACUUCCUCAUCUGUAACAUGGGAAUGACACUAUUUGACCUUCCUCCUUCCUCCUUCAUGGGGUUUGACCUUCCUUCUUCGUGGGGUUUGGUGAGAAUCAAAUGAAUUAGUGUACAUGAAGGUGCUUGUAAGUGAUGAAGCUUCAUAUACCUUGCAGGGGACAUUUUUUGGUUUUGUCACCCAGCAUCUGUUACCUCACCUUCUAGUAACAGUAUAAUGACUAUACUAUAACCUAAACUUCCUCUGGACUGUUGGUCCCCAGGCUACUGGUAGACUUGACCUUCCUCCUGUCUCCAGUGGACUUGACCUUCCCCUAGUCCCAGGAGAUAAGUGUCACUCAAGGCCUGGCAAAGGGAAGCCUUGCCCCGCCCCACCCCCAUAAGCCUCUUCCCGUGGUGGACUGGCUCUCAGAAUCCUUUCCAACCUCUCUCCAGUGUGCCGUCCUGUAUUACAACUUGCAAGAGCUGUACAGCUAAAAUCUACCUUUUCCUGACUAUUCUGUGGACAAUGAUCUGAAUGUAAAUUACUAUCCAAAAUGUUCCACUCAAGAUUUGGAAGACAGGUAUGUGACACUUGUGUCUUGGGUUUGAGAAGCAGAUGGGUGGCAGUGCUGGCCUCCUGAGGCCUGUAUUACAAAUAUGGCGUGUGAACUUGAACUCAGUUGCUCCCAUGGCAGUCUCCUGAUCCCCCAUCUUGCCAGGUGUUUCAAAGACCAUAGCUCUCUGAAGCAGGUCAGUUCUGCUGUGUUCUGGGAGUCAUUUCUGAAGAUUCCACCUGGAACUCACUCCUUCAGACCAUCCAACAAUUCUGCAAGCAUCCAGUACCUGUGUUAAAUCCUGGUCUGCUCUCAAUAUCUAGAGUGACUUCUGUGUUCAAAAAUGAAACCCACCUGGUACCAAUGAAAUGGGCACUUGGAACCCGACUAGGACCCAAGAGUCAGAUCACACAACGUCAUUUAAACAGCUGAGAAAUGGAGGCUAAGUUUCUGAUGGACUCGGAGGUUAUAAGGCCAGAGCAGCUAGCAGCCCUCCUGCCUUCACAAGGAGCUUGUCUGAGGUAAAUAACCAACCCGAGAAGGGCCACGCUGAGAGGAGAGGAGCCCGUUCUUGACACCUUUUGAGUAGCUGAACAAAACAACGUCUUGUGCCAAACCUACUUCUGGAUCUCCAGUUACGUGAGCCAACACAUUCCUCCAGUCUAAGACAGUUGGCAUCAGACUAUUCCAUCAUUUGAUCAAAACAUAAUGUAUGAGGGACGUGAUGCUAACAGGAGCGAAACCACAUGGCAGCAGUGAUCACGUGGUUACAGAUCACAUAUUCUCAGCCAGAGGCUAGGGAUCUCCUGGGAGCGUUUUAUAGGAUACACGUGAAGAGGUGUGAGCCUAGGCCUUCUGGAUCCCAUGAGGGACACAUGCGAGCAACCGGAAAACCUCACAGGUGAAGGGGGUCCCAUAUGCACCCCUAGGGACGGGGGCUGCUACGGACCAACGCGUCGGGAAGGGAAGGCCAACAAUGGGUAUUCCUUGGAAACACUUGAAUGUUUGAAUCCCAGUUUUAGGCACUAACAUUAUUUUUUACUUAAUUUUGAUUUUCUUCUUUUAGGGUUAAAAAAACCCCUUGCAUUAAUUCACUCAGUAUUAUAACCACCAGAU